rnacentral:tRNA from 1 species
UCUCUGGUGGACUUGCGGUCAGGCCUCGGCACUCUCACUGCCGUGGCCCGCGUUCGAUUCCUGGCCAGGGAA